GGGGGCGUAUUGGUUUCGACGGGGUCGUGGGUCGUGCGAUGGCGAGCCGAGCCCCGGGCUCGUAAAACCGGGAAAGAAAUACGUGCGAAUAACGCACCUGUCGCCCUCGCCGCGUAAGCGGUAGAGACGCAAAAGCUCAGGCUACGGCCUGACGUCGACCGUCUCUUCGGUCGUGGGAGACGGACCCGACGCUAAUGUGAGCGGCCUCGCCGUCCGGUGGCGCCUCGGCGCCGGACGGGACGUCCACCGAGGCUGGCCGGUUCACAGCCUGGUCCCAGGGCGGCGAAUCGGCGAGAACAAAACCGGGACUACGCUCGUAGAGGUCGUGCGGUACGCGGCUUCGGACGCGGGUUCGACCCCCGCCGCCUCCACCA
rnacentral:tmRNA from 1 species